CUUAAAGGAAUUGACGGAAGGCACCACCAGGAGUGGAAUCUGCGCUUAAUUGACAACGCGGGAAAACUCACCAGGUCAGGACACGGUAAGGAUUGACGGACUGAAGGCUCUUUCUCGAUUCCGUGGAAAGUGGUGCAUGGCCGUUUUUGGUUGGUGGAUCGAUCCGUCUGGUUAAUUCCGUUAACGAACGAGACCUCGGCACUCCGAAUAGCGCGGCGGACGUCGCGGCCUCCGGGCCGUCUUCCGCGCGAGCUUCUUAGAGGGACCGUCCCCCCGCCGGGGAAGGAGGUGCGAGGCAACGACAGGUCUGUGAUGCCCUUAGAUGUUCUGGGCCGCACGCGCAUUACACUGACGCGUCCAACGGGUGACUCCCGACCCGAAGGGGCCGGGGAAUCCGCAAGGCGCGUCGUGAUGGGGAUUGAACGUUGCAAUUGUUGUUCACGAACGAGGAAUUCCUAGUAGGCGCGGGUCAUCAACCCGCGCCGAUUACGUCCCUGCCCUUUGUACACACCGC
rnacentral:rRNA from 1 species